rnacentral:tRNA from 12 species
UCCGGGUUAGCUCAACGGUAGAGCGGGUGGCUGUUAACCACUAGGUUGGGGGUUCGAAUCCCUCACCCGGAGCCA